rnacentral:rRNA from 1 species
GACGAACGCUGGCGGCGUGCUUAACACAUGCAAGUCGAACGGAAAGGCCCUGCUUUUGUGGGGUGCUCGAGUGGCGAACGGGUGAGUAACACGUGAGUAACCUGCCCUUGACUUUGGGAUAACUUCAGGAAACUGGGGCUAAUACCGGAUAGGAGCUCCUGCUGCAUGGGGGGGGUUGGAAAGUUUCGGCGGUGGGGGAUGGACUCGCGGCUUAUCAGCUUGUUGGUGGGGUAGGGGCUUACCAAGGCUUUGACGGGUAGCCGGCCUGGGAGGGUGACCGGCCACCUUGGGACUGAGAUACGGCCCAGACUGCUACGGGCGGCAGCGGUGGGGAAUAUUGCACAGUGGGCGGAAGCCUGUUGCAGCAACGCCGCGUGCGGGAUGACGGCCUUCGGGUUGUAAACCGCUUUCGCCUGUGACGAAGCGUGAGUGACGGUAAUGGGUAAAGAAGCACCGGCUAACUACGUG